GUUGUAAAUUGUUCUUGAAUAGUUCAAAAUAGUUGGUUCUUCUACUUGAAUGCUUGAUUCCGUAUUAGCAACUAUGUUUUACAAUCGUUGUAAAAGUGUGACUAAUAAGAAGUAGAAGAUAUAUGAGAGAAGAAAAGGUGUUUCACAUUCGGAACGUGAAUAAAAUAUAGAUCUCUGCGAAAGCAGAUAGUACUUACUUCCUCAUAUGAACUACCAAAGAAAUUGGAAAAACCAAAGAUUGUCUUUACAUUCCAAUUUUAAGGAACUUAAUUCCGUCACUAUAGUAGAGAUGGAUAAAUGUUUUGUUUGACAAAACAUUGUUCUUUAUUAAUCAAUGAUUGGAUUAUAGUAAUCUAAUUGAUUGUCUCUAUAGUAGAGAUGAUAUGGUAGCGUUAACUGUUUAGAAUAUAACGAUGCUUAAAACCCAAAAGGUUGCAAGGUAGUGACUAAUCCCAACUGAGUUGUGAUACCUCAAAAACAUAAAAUACGAGUUGGUCAUAGAUGGAUGCUUUGGAUCGUUAGAUCCGGAUCCAACACCUUCUUAUUAAAAUUGUAUAGAGGCGAAAUGUUCGAAUCUUUAUUCUUUUGGAAAGAAGAAAGAAUCACAAAGUUGUUGAGGUUAACUCACUUAGAUGUUAGUGGCACUUGUUCACAACAUAAUACUACUCAUGUUGUAUGACAUUCACCGAAGAUCACUCUCAAUUGGACUAUAGUUUAUUUUGAAUAAAUACAAGUCCGAAUACUUUGCAAAAGGUUUCAAAGAAUUCAAGAAAUGUAAGUUGAUGAGUAAGACAUCUAAAGUAUUUGCCUUCUUAGAUUUGAUCCAAGGAAAGAUAACACUUUAGAACAGUUUCCUUGAAAAAUAUCAAGGAAA
rnacentral:lncRNA from 1 species